GGCGGGACACGUGGUAUCCUGUCUGAAUAUGGGGGGACCAUCCUCCAAGGCUAAAUACUCCUGACUGACCGAUAGUGAACCAGUACCGUGAGGGAAAGGCGAAAAGAACCCCGGCGAGGGGAGUGAAAAAGAACCUGAAACCGUGUACGUACAAGCAGUGGGAGCCUCUUUAUGGGGUGACUGCGUACCUUUUGUAUAAUGGGUCAGCGACUUAUAUUCUGUAGCAAGGUUAACCGUAUAGGGGAGCCGAAGGGAAACCGAGUCUUAACUGGGCGUUAAGUUGCAGGGUAUAGACCCGAAACCCGGUGAUCUAGCCAUGGGCAGGUUGAAGGUUGGGUAACACUAACUGGAGGACCGAACCGACUAAUGUUGAAAAAUUAGCGGAUGACCUGUGGCUGGGGGUGAAAGGCCAAUCAAACCGGGAGAUAGCUGGUUCUCCCCGAAAGCUAUUUAGGUAGCGCCUCGUGAACUCAUCUUCGGGGGUAGAGCACUGUUUCGGCUAGGGGGCCAUCCCGGCUUACCAACCCGAUGCAAACUACGAAUACCGAAGAAUGUUAUCACGGGAGACACACGGCGGGUGCUAACGUCCGUCGUGAAGAGGGAAACAACCCAGACCGCCAGCUAAGGUCCCAAAGUCAUGGUUAAGUGGGAAACGAUGUGGGAAGGCACAGACAGCCAGGAUGUUGGCUUAGAAGCAGCCAUCAUUUAAAGAAAGCGUAAUAGCUCACUGGUCGAGUCGGCCUGCGCGGAAGAUGUAACGGGGCUAAACCAUGCACCGAAGCUGCGGCAGCGACACUAUGUGUUGUUGGGUAGGGGAGCGUUCUGUAAGCCGUUGAAGGUGUGCUGUGAGGCAUGCUGGAGGUAUCAGAAGUGCGAAUGCUGACAUAAGUAACGAUAAAGCGGGUGAAAAGCCCGCUCGCCGGAAGACCAAGGGUUCCUGUCCAACGUUAAUCGGGGCAGGGUGAGUCGACCCCUAAGGCGAGGCCGAAAGGCGUAGUCGAUGGGAAACAGGUUAAUAUUCCUGUACUUGGUGUUACUGCGAAGGGGGGACGGAGAAGGCUAUGUCAGCCGGGCGACGGUUGUCCCGGUUUAAGCAUGUAGGCGGAGGUUCCAGGUAAAUCCGGUACCUUUUAACGCUGAGGUGUGAUGACGAGGCACUACGGUGCUGAAGUGAUAAAUGCCCUGCUUCCAGGAAAAGCCUCUAAGCAUCAGGUAACACGAAAUCGUACCCCAAACCGACACAGGUGGUCAGGUAGAGAAUACCAAGGCGCUUGAGAGAACUCGGGUGAAGGAACUAGGCAAAAUGGUGCCGUAACUUCGGGAGAAGGCACGCUGAUGUGUAGGUGAAGCCCCUGCGGGUGGAGCUGAAAUCAGUCGAAGAUACCAGCUGGCUGCAACUGUUUAUUAAAAACACAGCACUGUGCAAACACGAAAGUGGACGUAUACGGUGUGACGCCUGCCCGGUGCCGGAAGGUUAAUUGAUGGGGUUAGCGGCAACGCGAAGCUCUUGAUCGAAGCCCCGGUAAACGGCGGCCGUAACUAUAACGGUCCUAAGGUAGCGAAAUUCCUUGUCGGGUAAGUUCCGACCUGCACGAAUGGCGUAAUGAUGGCCAGGCUGUCUCCACCCGAGACUCAGUGAAAUUGAACUCGCUGUGAAGAUGCAGUGUACCCGCGGCAAGACGGAAAGACCCCGUGAACCUUUACUAUAGCUUGACACUGAACACUGGUCCUUGAUGUGUAGGAUAGGUGGGAGGCUUUGAAGCGUGGACGCCAGUCUGCGUGGAGCCAACCUUGAAAUACCACCCUUUAAUGGCUGGUGUUCUAACGUAGACCCGUUACCCGGGUUGCGGACAGUGUCUGGUGGGUAGUUUGACUGGGGCGGUCUCCUCCCAAAGAGUAACGGAGGAGCACGAAGGUUGGCUAAUCCUGGUCGGACAUCAGGAGGUUAGUGCAAUGGCAUAAGCCAGCUUGACUGCGAGCGUGACGGCGCGAGCAGGUGCGAAAGCAGGUCAUAGUGAUCCGGUGGUUCUGAAUGGAAGGGCCAUCGCUCAACGGAUAAAAGGUACUCCGGGGAUAACAGGCUGAUACCGCCCAAGAGUUCAUAUCGACGGCGGUGUUUGGCACCUCGAUGUCGGCUCAUCACAUCCUGGGGCUGAAGUAGGUCCCAAGGGUAUGGCUGUUCGCCAUUUAAAGUGGUACGCGAGCUGGGUUUAGAACGUCGUGAGACAGUUCGGUCCCUAUCUGCCGUGGGCGCUGGAGAAUUGAGGGGGGCUGCUCCUAGUACGAGAGGACCGGAGUGGACGCAUCACUGGUGUUCGGGUUGUCAUGCCAAUGGCACUGCCCGGUAGCUAAAUGCGGAAGAGAUAAGUGCUGAAAGCAUCUAAGCACGAAACUUGCCCC
rnacentral:rRNA from 1 species